AUGGAAGGUAGCCCUUCUUCCUUCUGUAUCCAUGGGACUCUGGUUCCAGGCCCCAUGGAUCCGUCCAUAGACAGGGAGUCUCUCACAUAAAAAGGAACUGUACAGAAUAUGGCCCAUGCACAUCCACCAGAGAUGAUCUUGAAGCCUGCCGCUCAGCUGUGGAGAGGAGAACUUGGGCAAAGUGUGGUGAACGGAAGAGAUGUGCCGUGCUCUGCCAAGUGGGGCUCCUCAGCUACACCCCAAAGCACCAGCCUCCUGCUUAUGUAGCAGCUAAAUUGAAUGGGAAGGAGCAGCCUUGGGCCAGUCAGGCUGAUGGUGCCCGCCGGAACCUUCCUGGUGCCAAGCCAAAUGAUUCCUGACCCAUCACAGGGUGGCCUUGCUGCCCACGUUCCGGAUGAGACCCCUGAUUCUCUGAGGCUGCUGUGGGACGCCGAGGGAGACCUGCUGCUCUCCUUGAUGGCCGAGGCUUCUGUGACAAUCUUUUCCUGCUGACCAGGGGAGAAGCGGAGGGAUAUGUCCAGAACUGGCCUUCCAAACAGCACUGUGGGGCCAAGGGAGGACCCUGAAGACCCGAGAUCCGGAUGUGCCGGCACUGUUGGUUC